rnacentral:rRNA from 1 species
AAGGGGGGUGCAAGCGUUGUUCGGAAUCAUUGGGCGUAAAGCGCGCGCAGGCGGCUUGGUAAGUAAGAUGUGAAAUGCAUGGGCUUAACCUAGGAAGGGCAUUUGAUACUGGCUCUCUAGAGUAUGGGAGAGGAAAGUGGAAUUCCUGGUGUAGAGGUGAAAUGCGUAGAUAUCAGGAGGAACACCAGUGGCGAAGGCGACUUUCUGGCUCAUUACUGACGCUCAGGCGCUAAAGUGUGUGGAACAAACAG